AAAGAGCACGGGAAAAAUAAUGUUUCAUUCCUUUGUCUUUUCAUGUUGGGUAAAGUGGAAGAGUGCAUUCAGCUAUUGGUUGACAGCAAUCGGCUACCUGAGGCUGCAUUUAUGGCGCGAUCUUAUUUACCGAGUAAAGUAUCUGAAAUAGUUGAGAUUUG